GACGAACCGUCCAAACGUUAUUCGGAAUUACUGGGCUUAAAGGGUGCGUAGGCGGCGCGGCACGUUGGGUGUGAAAUCCCUCGGCUCAACCGAGGAACUGCGCCCAAUACUACCGUGCUUGAGGGAGAUAGAGGUGAGCGGAACUUAGGGUGGAGCGGUGAAAUGCGUAGAGAUGUGGAGGAAUACCGAUGGCGAAGGCAGCCCCCUGGGAUGAUACUGACGCUCAUGCACGAAAGCGUGGGGAGCAAACAGG
rnacentral:rRNA from 1 species